rnacentral:rRNA from 1 species
UACGGGGGGGGCAAGCGUUGUUCGGAAUUACUGGGCGUAAAGGGCUCGUAGGCGGCUAACUAAGUCAGACGUGAAAUCCCCAGGCUCAACCUGGGAACUGCGUCUGAUACUGGUUGGCUUGAAUCCGGGAGAGGGAUGCAGAAUUCCAGGUGUAGCGGUGAAAUGCGUAGAUAUCUGGAGGAAUACCGGUGGCGAAGGCGGCAUCCUGGACCGGCAUUGACGCUGAGGAGCGAAAGCUAGGGGAGCAAACGGG